CCCGGCUUCAGGGCCAUAACAGGAACGUUCAUGUCAUGACCCCUGUCAGAUUCUCUGGAUCUGCGAAUCCUGCU
rnacentral:ribozyme from 1 species